rnacentral:tRNA from 1 species
CGGAAAGUAUGGCCAAACGGUAUCAGGUGCUUCCUUUUAUGAAAGAAGGCGGCAAACUGAUGGUCGCGAUGGCCGAUCCGCUCGAUUACUUCGCGA